rnacentral:rRNA from 1 species
GUGCCAGCCGCCGCGGUAAUACGAAGGGGGCUAGCGUUGCUCGGAAUUACUGGGCGUAAAGCGCACGUAGGCGGAUUGUUAAGUCGGGGGUGAAAUCCUGGAGCUCAACUCCAGAACUGCCUUCGAUACUGGCGAUCUCGAGUUCGGGAGAGGUGAGUGGAACUGCGAGUGUAGAGGUGAAAUUCGUAGAUAUUCGCAAGAACACCAGUGGCGAAGGCGGCUCACUGGCCCGAUACUGACGCUGAGGUGCGAAAGCGUGGGGAGCAAACAGGAUUAGAUACCCUAGUAGUCC